rnacentral:lncRNA from 14 species
CCUUGGUGGCAGCGCGUCCCCAGCCCCGGAAUCAGCGGCUGGAUCACGGGGAGGGCUGGGGCGGCGGAAUUCCAGCCGCAACAACGACCACAGCGGUCUGGAAAAACAGCCAUGGCAAAACAGCCAUGGAAAACCAGCCAUGCCCAGCCAGGCCGGGCUGCCGGCCGCGCCCCGAGCCCCCCUGCAGCCCCCCAGGGUCGGGAGAGGCCCCGGGCAUCGUCCGGGCAGGGCUGGCCCCGUCCUGGGAGCGGAACCGGGGAUCGCCCGCUGCUGCCCGGGCCCUGUGCCCGGCUGGGAGGGGGUACGGAGCCCUGGGUGGGGGGAUGGAGCCCUGGGUGGGGGGAUGGAGCCCUGGGAUGGGGGGCACGGAGCCCUGGGAUGAGGGGGGAUGGUCCUAUGGGGUGUAGGGAGAGGUGCAGGACGCAGGAAUAAUCCUGUGGGGUGCAGGAAUGAUCCCGUGGGGUGCAGGAAGUAAUUCAGGAAUGACCCCGGGGGGGGUUCAGGAAUAAUCAAGAAUGGCCGGUAGGGUUCAGGAAUCCGAAUUCCUGUGGGGUGCAGGAACAAUCCCGAGGGGUGCAGGAACAAUCCCGAGGGGUGCAGGGGGGUUCCGGAUUCAGCAAUGCUCCCGAGGGGUGCAGGAACAAUCCCGAGGGGCGCAGGGAGGGUUCAGGAUUCAGGAACAAUCCCGAGGGGUGCAGGAACAAUCCUGAAGGGCGCAGGGGGGUUCAGGAUUCAGGAAUCAUCCCAUGGGUGCAGGAAUAAUCCCAAGGGGUGCAGGGGGGUUCCGGAUUCAGGAAUCAUCCCAUGGGGUGCAGGAACAAUCCCGAGGGGCGCAGGGGGGUUCAGGAUUCAGCAAUGCCCCCGCAGGACGCAGGAACCCUCCCGCAGCGAGCCGUGCGGAGGCUCCGCGCCUCAGGGGCCCCCCGGGAGCGUUCGGGCAGCCCGAGCGUACCUGGGCGAGCGCCGGGAGCCGCGGCAGGAGCGGGAGCAGCGGGAUCAGCUCCGGUCGGCCAUGUCUGGCUGCCGCCGCCGCCGAGGGAGGGAGGCGGAUGGAGGAGCGGCUAUUUUAAGGCAUGACAUGGCCGGAGGCAGCGCGGGUCGGGCCGGGCUGGGCGCGGAGGGGACGCGCGGACAUCGCGGAGCGCCCGCGGCCCCGCGCGGCAGCGACAGCGACAGCGACAGCGACAGCGGCGAUGUCCCCAAAUCCUCCGCGGAGCCUCCCCCGCACCCCGCCGGAGCCACGGCAGG